rnacentral:rRNA from 1 species
UACAGGGGUGGCAAGCGUUGUCCGGAAUUACUGGGUGUAAAGGGUGCGUAGGCGGGUCGGUAAGUCAGUGGUCAAAUCCUAUAGCUUAACUAUAGACUAUCCAUUGAUACUGCUGAUCUUGAGUGCGAGAGAGAUGAGUGGAAUUCCAAGUGUAGCGGUGAAAUGCGUAGAGAUUUGGAAGAACACCAGUAGCGAAGGCGGCUCAUUAGCUCGUAACUGACGCUGAGGCACGACAGCAUGGGUAGCAAACAGG